GUUCUUGCGGGCAAUGCUCUCGGGGUGAGCGUAGAUGCAGGUCUGUCCAGUGGAGAAGUCACAGAAGGCCUUGAUGGCAUCCAUGGUGCAGCCCUGGUUGGGGUCGAUCCAGUAGAAGCCUGCACAGAGAAACCAAAGGUGCGGGCUGGGUUCUUCUUGGAGCCCUCGGGAGAGAGCAGGCUAUCGAUCUGGGUGUUCAGGGACUUCAGGGUGGCAUCCACCUCGUAGUCCUUGGCCCUGAGGGCGGCCUGGUCAGCAGCGUACUCGUCAAAGCCACCAGAGACGUCAUAAGAGCCACCAGCGGGACCAGGGGGUCCAGGCAGACCGGGAGAUCCGGGAGGACCCUGCAAUCAGACAACACCAUGACCUUAGUGGAACAAGUUCCCUAUGCUUUACGCUUCACGUUAUAUCUGACUGAAAUGUGUAUGAGCCUAAGGAUCUUUCAUUGGGGGAUUCCCCAUCUGCUAAACAGAUAUGUUUUAUAGUCAAAUAUUAUAUUUGAACUUACAGCAGGUCCAAGAUGUCCUUGGGGACCACGGUGACCGACGGGUCCAACAGGGCCGUGGGCUCCAGCUCUUCCAUCCUUGCCAGAAGGUCCAGCAGGACCAGCGGGGCCCUAAAAAGCAACACCACAGAGGGUUUGACAGGUUGUUGACAAUCUUAUGGACCAGCACUGUAGUUCAGUUUUUUUUUAUUGAAAAAGAAUAUUCUGGAAUCUGGGCUACUUACUCUGGGACCAGAAUGUCCAGUGGCACCAGCGGGACCAGAGUCACCAGGAGGACCCUAGCAAGAAGACAUAACACAAUGUUUUGAUAGCGUAUAAUAACAAGGCAUAUGGGUGAAAUGACUGUAUUACAUAAUAAAAUGACACAAACGUCUGAGAGUUGGAUAUAAAGAUGGAGGAGCAGUGUUAGUCGCUAACAAGACAAGUAGCUUGGCUCUACGCCUACACUAUCCUACACAAAAAUGAAAAGUGCAUCAUGGGGUCUGAUUCUAAUUAUGGUACACUACACUUCCAUAAACAGAUAAAGUCUUCCAGAAGUUGUAGAUGGAGCCUUGAUUUUCACUCACAUUGGGUCCAGGCAUUCCCUGGAGACCAGGGUGUCCACGCAGUCCCUUCAUGCCUCUGUCUCCCUUGUCUCCAGCACCUCCCUUCUCACCACGAGCUCCAGCAGGGCCCUAGAACAGCGAGAGAGAGAGAGAGAGAUAAUGAGGAGAGAUUAAUUCAGAGAUUCAAGAUUCAUUUAUUGUUACAUCUCAUUAUAUUUGUACAAAGAGAAUAAAAUUCUUAAAAUUCA